rnacentral:rRNA from 1 species
CCGAAUUCUGUCGACAACAGAGUGUGAUCCUGGCUCAGAUUGAACGCUGGCGGCAGGCCUAACACAUGCAAGUCGAGCGGAUGAUGGGAGCUUGCUCCCGGAUUCAGCGGCGGACGGGUGAGUAAUGCCUAAGAAUCUGCCUGCAUAGUGGGGGACAACGUUUCGAAAGGAGCGCUAAUACCGCAUACGUCCUACGGGAGAAAGCAGGGGACCUUCGGGCCUUGCGCUAUCACAUGAGCCUAGGUCGGAUUAGCUAGUUGGUGGGGUAAAGGCCUACCAAGGCGACGAUCCGUAACUGGUCUGAGAGGAUGAUCAGUCACACUGGAACUGAGACUCGGUCCACACUCCUAGGGGAGGCAGCAGUGGGGAAUAUUGGACAAUGGGCGAAAGCCUGAUCCAGCCAUGCCGCGUGUGUGAAGAAGGUCUUCGGAUUGUAAAGCACUUUAGGUUGGGACGAAGGGCAAUAAAUUAAUACCUUGCUGUAUUGACGUUACCAACAGAAUAAGCACCGGCUAACUUCGUGCCAGCAGCCGCGGUGAUACGAAG